CUACGGGGGGCUGCAGUGAGGAAUAUUGCACAAUGGGGGGAACCCUGAUGCAGCAACGCCGCGUGGAGGAUGACGCAUUUCGGUGUGUAAACUCCUUUUAUAUGUCAAGAAAAUGACGGUAGCAUAUGAAUAAGCACCGGCUAACUCCGUGCCAGUAGCCGCGGGUAAUACGGAGGGUGCAAGCGUUACUCGGAAUCACUGGGCGUAAAGGACGCGUAGGCGGGUUGGAAAGUCAGGUGUGAAAUCCUACAGCUUAACUGUAGAACUGCACUUGAAACUUCUAAUCUAGAGUAUGGGAGGGGGAGAUGGAAUUAGUGGUGUAGGGGUAAAAUCCGUAGAUAUCACUAGGAAUACCUAAAGCGAAGGCGAUCUCCUGGAACAUUACUGACGCUAAGGCGUGAAAGCGUGGGGAGCAAACAGGAUUAGAUACCCCUGUAGUC
rnacentral:rRNA from 1 species